GCCAGCAUGGCGUAGUGGUUUGAGUGCUGGACUAUGACUCCGGAGAUCAGGGUUCGAUUUCCAGCUCGGCA